CUUGCACGCUGGCGGCAGGCCUAACACAUGCAAGUCGAGCGGAUGAAGGGAGCUUGCUCCUGGAUGCAGCGGCGGACGGGUGAGUAAUUCCUAGGAAUCUGCCUGGUAGUGGGGGAUAACGUCCGUAAACGGGCGCUAAUACCGCAUACGUCCUGAGGGAGAAAGUGGGGGAUCUUCGGACCUCACGCUAUCAGAUGAGCCUAGGUCGUAUUAGCUAGUUGGUGGGGUAAAGGCCUACCAAGGCGACGAUCCGUAACUGGUCUGAGAGGAUGAUCAGUCACACUGGAACUGAGACACGGUCCAGACUCCUACGGGAGGCAGCAGUGGGGAAUAUUGGACAAUGGGCGAAAGCCUGAUCCAGCCAUGCCGCGUGUGUGAAGAAGGUCUUCGGAUUGUAAAGCUCUUUAAGUUGGGAGGAAGGGAAGUAAGUUAAUACCUUGCUGUUUUGACGUUACCAACAGAAUAAGCACCGGCUAACUUCGUG
rnacentral:rRNA from 1 species